ensembl:lncRNA
GUCGGAAAUUAUAGAGAAACAUCUACAUCAGGCAUAAAAUUGUUCCGCCAUCUCUGACUAUAGCUGUAUGAAUGUUAAAUGACGAGACAGAGGCAUUGAUGCGAGUAACCAGUCUUGUUCAGUACAUGACAACACAUCCGGGUAUCUCAAGCACCCCGGUAAAACACAAGAGUUGCAGUAAUGAACAUUUACCAACAGAUGGCAUCACUCUGCCAUCUUACACCCAUAACAUCUUCCAUUUAAUCAAAUAGGACAGGAGGUGUCAAAUCACUAACAAAACAAACCUAGUAACAAUUUCCAACAUGAACAGUUUAGUAUUUAUUUUAUUUUAUUUAUUUAUUUCAGGUAAACAAGAACACAUUUUUAUAUUCUCUUCACUUUUAUCUCUGUCAACAAUCCCUGAUGGGAAACCUACAGAUUAAGUAUUUUUGGUGGCUGGGACAGACGCCCGCAGCGUGAAAAGACAGGGGGCUUGUCUGCGAGGACUGCGGGUUCCCGCACAGGCGUGUCACCUGAAUGUCGAAGGGGAGAAUUGAUGGGCGAGGGAGCAGCCUACCUGUGAUCCCCUGGCUCUUCGCCCAGUGCCUCAGGCCCCAUGUGACUUGCUGGAGUUCUGUCUUUUGUCAUGCGACCACUUUGGCCGUCAGGGUUCUGAGUAGGUGCUGGCUCAGCAAUGCGAAGGUCAACCCUGUUACGACGGUACAGUGAUCCAUUCACUUUGACCAAGUAGGAGCGUGGUGCCACUUUCUGUACACAGGAUCCGAGUCUCCAGAGGCCUGUCCGGUCCCCUGGUAGUGGUGGAAGCGUUGGCAUGCAAACACAAUGCUGAGGCACUCCUUCUCUAUCUGGGCAUAGUUCUGCUCUGUUGGGGUGAGUGCCCUAGAGGUGAAUGCCACAGGCUGGCCCUCCUGCAUGAGGCAACAGCCAAGUCCAUACUGGCUUGAGUCACUCUGAAUCGUGACAGGUUUUGACACAUUGUAGUAUCGCAGUACAGGUGUCUGGGUGACCAGUUGUUUUAUUUCCCUCACCGCUGCGUCAUGUUUUGGGAGCCAAUGCCAGAUGGUGUCCUUGUCCAUGAGCCUCCUCAGUGGCUCACACACUUCAGAGAGCCGCGGUAGGAAUUUGGCCAGGUAGGUGACACUGCACUCCCUUCACGUCAGAUGGGUGGGGCAUUUCCAAGACAGCCUUCACUUUUUCAGGAUCUGCCUUCAAUCCGGUGGAGGACAAGAUGUGCCCAUGAAAGCGGACCUCUGGCACUUUAAACUGAAGCUUUUUUAUGCUUAGCCUUAGCUUGACCUGUCUGCAUCUGACCAUCAGGGCCAGCAGCUUGGCGUCAUGGUCACAUUCUGCCUCCUCAUCACUGUCUCCACAGCCCACUACGAGGAUGUCAUCUGCUAUGGGUUCCACGCCACUGAGUCCCAUCAACAGCUCAUGCUGUUUCCGCUGAUACACCUCUGGAGCCAUGGAGACACCAAACGGAAGCUUCAACCACCUCUUCCUGCCCCAGGGUGUCCAAAAGGUGGUCAUGUAGCUGCUGGGCUCGUCGAGCUUGCACUGCAGGAAGGCAUCUCUGGCAUCCACGAGCGUGAAGACUCUGGCCUUUGGGAGCUUGUAAAGAACAUCCUCCAACGUGGGCAUAAUAUAAUGUGAAUGUCGCAGAGCCCGGUUGAGGUGUUUAGGAUCAAUGCAUAUCCGUAGCUUGUCUGGUUUCUUGAAGAUAACCAUAUUACUUAUCCAGUCCGUAGGCUCAGUGACGGAUAUGAUGUGGCCAUCUGCUUCGUAUUUGUCAAGCUGAGCCUUCGUAGCUGCUUUCAUGGCCACUGGUACAUUGCGGGGUGCACACUGGACAGGCUGGAUUGCUGCGUCUAACUCAAAGUGGACUUCCCCAGGAACUGACUCGACCGGUGCGUUGAAGACAUCAUGGUACUUGCUUAGGAGUGUCUCCUUGCUCAGGGGCCCAGCCUGGACUUUGUCUAUAAUGUUAAGAUCAGCUGGGAUGGUGAAGUUAAUAAGUCCAAGGUGUUCGCAUGUAGAACCUGACAGUAAUGGCUGUUGACUAGCCUCAACUAUUUCAAUCUCAAGGGUGUAUUUCUGGCCACGUAAAACACACUGUCACAAACAGGCCUAAAGAGGUCAUGAACUGGCCUGAAUACAGUUUCAGCUUGGUGCUACUCUGUGUGAGUUUGUCUCUGGGCGCGAGCCUUCUUUUGUCUUUAAGGCUCAUAACGUUGCAUGUGGCCCCUGAAUCUAGCUGGCAUUGCUGUGGUUUAUUAUUAAGUAGCAGAGUGACAAACCACUUUUGUCCUUACUGCCCCUAUGCACUCGCUAGCAUGUACAUCCUCUGUGCUGUCGUUCCCUUCAUCUGUGUUUGUUUCCAUGGAGUGCACUUUACCCUCCUUUCUCUUGCUUUUCAUGCAGACCCUUGUGAAGUGAUUAGCUGUACCACAGGAUUUGCAUAUUUUUCCAUAGGCUGGGCAGUGUUCUUUUCCUCGUCCAUGAGAAAUGCCACAAUAUCGGCAUGUAUUGGGGUUGUCUACUGCAGAGUUGGCUGUAGUAUUAGCAUUAGCUGUGGCAAAGGGGAAUUUCUUUACUGGCUGCCUGAAUGUAGCAUUGACAUUGUCCGUAUGUUGCCUUUCUAGCUCCAUGGACCUUAUCCGUAUAUCAGUAAGCUCUGCUGCACGGCAUGUCUCCACUGCCAAGGCCAGCGUCAGGUCACGUUCUCUCAGCAAACGUCUGCGGGUGCCCUCAUCAGUUAUGCAAAGCACAAUCGUAUCUCUGAUCAGUUCAUCUCUUAAAGCACCAUAGUCACAUGUAGCUGCCUUUUCCCUUAACCUAGUGACAAAGCUGUCAAUGGACUCCCCAUCCUCCUGUUUGCAACGACUGAAAACAUAACGCUCGUAGAUGACGUUCUUUGCUGGCGUAAAGUAAUGUUCAAGAGCAUCAAGAAUAGCUAUAGUGUUACCUUGCUGAGCUGCUGUUAGGUUCAGGUUGUGUUUGUAUACGUGUCGGCAUUCAGUUCCCAUUAUAGUCCUCAAAGUGGCAGCCACUACCUCAUCUUCCUUUUCCAGAAGUCCCGUUGCUAGCGCAUAGUCCUCCCAUUCACCUCUAAACGGAUCCCAGUUCGUGCUCCAAUCCCCGCUGAGCUUCAUAACGGCAGGAGAGGGAAUGUUCACUGCCAUGUCUAACCGGUGCUAACAACACUGAAGCUAACUACCAAACUCACUCUAACUAAGGCCAAUUCCGGGCGAAAUUUUACACAAAUAAGCAUUUGUUUGUAAACCAGAGCAGGUGACUCUAAUUUGCGGAAAGCAUGUUUAGUUAUCCGACUCUGACACCAUGUUUGAAUGUUAAAUGACGAGACAGAGGCAUUGAUGCGAGUAACCAGUCUUGU